AUUGAACGCUGGCGGCAUGCUUUACACAUGCAAGUCGAACGGUAACAGGCCUUCGGGUGCUGACGAGUGGCGAACGGGUGAGUAAUGCAUCGGAACGUACCCAGAGGUGGGGGAUAACGCAGCGAAAGCUGUGCUAAUACCGCAUGUGAUCUGAGGAUGAAAGCGGGGGACCGAGCAGCAAUGUUUGGCCUCGCGCCUUUGGAGCGGCCGAUGUCGGAUUAGCUAGUUGGUGGGGUAAAGGCCUACCAAGGCGACGAUCCGUAGCUGGUCUGAGAGGACGAACAGCCACCACUGGACUUAGACCCGGCCCAGGCUCCUACGGGAGGCAGCAGGUGGGAAUUUUGGACCAUGGGGGGAAGCCUGAUCCAGCCAUGGCGGGGGCGGGAAGGAGGCCCUCGGGUUGUAAACCGCCUUUGGCAGGAAAGAAACCGUGUCCGCUAAUACCCGGGGGUAAUGACGGUACCUGCAGAAUAAGCACCGGCUAACCACGU
rnacentral:rRNA from 1 species